rfam:Paenibacillus pectinilyticus strain KCTC13222 scaffold4, whole genome shotgun sequence.
AAGGCGGUAUCCUUAAAGGAACUGCACUUCGUUGUGUAUCAUUUGCAAGUUAUCGAGUUGUAUCGAAUUACGGUUGUUAAUGAGAGCAACAUUUCUCAUUUCGACAACGGAAUAACCUAUGAAACAAGAUGUUGGAUUCUGCUCUGAGCCUUACGGGACCGAGACAGAGGG